rnacentral:misc_RNA from 1 species
AUAUAUAUAGGCUUUAUAUGAAUAUGUAGACGACUGUUUUUGUUGGUUUUUCUACCGCCUACUCAGUAUCAGGAUAUCUUACCUUAUCCUUCUGGCGUAUGUUAUUUAUAAUUUAACAAGCAUGGGGAAUUACCAAAAUCAACAGAUACUGCCAGAAGUUAGUUUUGAAGAGAAGGGCAAAGAAUUGAACGUACGAGGAAAAGUACGUUCUAUUACCGAUUUCUUGCAGUACAUUCAAAGCAAGUCAAAGCGAAUAAACACUGAAUCCCAGAUAGCUCUACCAAUCCCAGAGACACUGUCACUCUACGAACGUCUCAAUGCUUCGUUCAACUCUUUGACUGAGAUCCAGCUGAACAUGCCAUUUAUAUUUCCACACCUGACUUACCUGGAUUUGAGCCACAACAACCUCUAUUUCCUGCCUGAUACAAUGGGGCUCUUCCUACAUUUGGAGAUCCUCAUUCUACACCAUAACUAUCUCAAACAAAUUCCUUACACCAUGGUUCAACUUGACAAACUCUCCAAACUCGAUCUGUCCAACAACAUGUUGAUAACACUGCCCAAAUCUCUUGGAGAAAUGAAAUCACUCCAAAAACUAAAUAUUUCACAUAACAAGAUCCGGGAAUUACCUUUAUCUCUAAUUGAGUGCAGCUCUUUGCGGUUAAUUUUAGCUUGUGACAACCUGAUGGAAAAUCCAACACAAGAUAUUUGUGAUCGAGGAUCAAAACCCAUUUUAGACUAUUUAAAACAGAAGAGGCUUGAUGGUUUAUCUAAUCAAAAAUCACCAAAAUCAAACCUUAAAUUUCCCAGGCAACAGUGGAACCAUUCACCAACAAAUGUUCCAAAUCCAGAUUCCCCCCAGAUGAAAUACAUUCAAAUGCAGACUCACACAACGUAUGUACCAAGCCGGUUGAAAACACCUCUUCAUUUUCCACCAAAUUCUACCAAACACGAUGCUCGUGUGUUGAGUGAUAAAAUUACAGGUCUCAUUUUUGGUGCUGCUGUAGGUGAUGCAAUUGGUCUGGCUGCACGAUGGAUGGACCCUGACGAAUGCCAGUUCUACUAUGAUAAAGAAGAUCUGAAAUAUUGUAAUAUCCGCCAGGACAAACACCGAGUGUUUUGGUCACCUGGAGAUUGGACAUCGAAUUUUGAUACAAUGGUUUUAGUCCUGGAUUCACUAAUUGCUUGGGCUGGAGUAAUUGAUGAGCUGGAUUUCUCCAAACGUUUGAAAUAUUGGUCUAAACAUGGUUUUCCAGAGCUGAAUGAUACCAAAGGAACUGUUUCCAGUUUUACGAUCCAAGAGGUCCUCAAACAGCAGUCCUUUGAGGAUGACCCACAUUUAGCAGCUGAAGCUGUUUUACAAGAGGGCUAUCUUCAAGACCCCAUCAACUCUACAACAGAAAACUGCACUUUGAACCCUUGCAUAAUCACUCCACCAGAUGAAUAUUUCUUCAAUGACAACUCAGCUGUUGUCCGAGCUGCUGUCCUAGGUGUCCCUUUUUUCUAUAAUCUGUCUGAAGUUGCCAACAAUUCUGUACGCAUAUGUCGCUCGUCUCACAAUCACCCAGAAUGCAUUGCUUCCUGUAUUGCCAUUACUGUUAUUAUUGCUUUACUGUUACAAGGUUCUCAUGACUUGAACAAUAUGGGGUCUGUCCGAGCCCUAUUAAACACAUCUGCUUUCCAUGCCAAUCCAUAUUUAAAAACUGAUGAACAAAGCAAUGAAUUUGAGUCGGUUUUAAGUGUUACAUCUUUAAAAAGUUUGAACAUUCGUGAGGAGAAAAAAAUGACACAUACUUAUAAACCUUUGGGAUGUGCUGCACUUGCUGUGAAAACCACAAAAGGAUACAGGGAAUUCAUCAGUGAUUUGGUUCUUGAAGGUGGAGACAGUGCAAGCAAUGCAUGUGUAGCAGGAGCCAUACUUGGUUGUCGCCUUGGUUACCUUCAACUUCCAAGUGAUUGGCUAACAGAACUUCUUCCCCAACAAGUCAGCUGGUUAAAUGUCAAAGUGAACUCCUUACUUGACAUGCUGGGACUUCCAUAGCUACUCCAAAAAUCUCAGUUACUUAGUUAUGUGAUGUUCUCGGAGACGUUUGUUGUCAUAUUUCAUCUCAACAUCAUAACCCCUACCGUCAUCAUUAUCACCAUUGUUCUCAUGAUUAUGAUCUCUGAGAUGUUCUAGAAUUUGAGUUCUAUGUCAAACAUAUUUGGCUGAAGAUGAUGGGAGAGAGGAUGAAGAAGUACAAAGAGGCUAGAGGUGCAACUUAAUCAGAGUUUUCCCUCUGUCACAGUGUAUUUUCUUCAGCGUCAUAUUCCAGUGCAAAUUGUGUUUUAUGUGUGUGGAGAUUGAACAAGAGCUCGACUUCUACUUAAGAAUGGAAUAUUACUUAGCUCAGAUAUUUAUAUAAAUAUUUUUUUUUUUCUGUACUGCUGAUCUACUUUAAAAAUGAGGUUGUGUCUGAAGAAUUAGCACAUUGGAUAAAACAAGCUCAAAAUCACUGAAUUUAAGAGAGAGAGAGUAUACAGUUUAACAGAUGUGUCCAGCGUGUGUUUGUCAGGAGAACCAGUUUAAAAAAAUAUCUGGUGGUUUUUGAAGCCAGUUUUAGGCUUUUUUUAUUUAUUGGUUGGACCAAGCUGAAAAGUAUGGAAGUCAGGGAGAUAGUUCUGUGUUUAAAGAUUAGACAAAGUAGUUUUGGAGGUGAAAUAUAAUAGUAUAAGGAAAGAACAGGCAGAUAUUGAUGGGUCAGUACUGUUGAUAAUGGGACUGGCAAUAAAAUAACUUUCUGCUAAUGAAAAUGAUGUUAAAUUGUUGCUAAUGAAAAUGAUGUUAAUAAUAAUAAUAAACAUUGUGUACAGUGCUCAGGUGCACUACAAUGUUAAACUGCUGUUAAUGAAAGCAAUGUUAAACUGUUUGUAAUUGAAAAUUUUAUUAAACUGUUGGUAAAUGAAAGGGUUGUUUGAAGUGUUGGGAAUAAAACUUGUUUGAAACUUGUUAAAAAAAUUGUUAGUAACGGAACAAAUAUAAAAUAAUUGUUGAUAAUGAAAUGAAAAUUGUUGAUGAUAAACCAGUUACCAACAAAGCUGUUGGUAAAUGAACCUUUAAAACUAUAUAUAUAUGUGUAUGGAACUGUUGGCAAUAAGGCAGUUGCAAUUAAAUUGUUAAAUUGUUAGAAAAUGUUUAUUUUUCUAAAACUAACAACAGAAAAAUUUAUAUUUCAAGAUGUUGGUAAUUGUCAAUAUAAUAACUAUACUCUUUUACUUGUUUCAGUCAUUUGAUUGCGGCCAUGCUGGAGCACCGCCUUUAGUCGAGCAAAUCAACCCCGGGACUUAUUCUUUGUAAGCCCAGUACUUAUUCUAUCGGUCUCU